UACAGGGGGUGCAAACGUUGCUCGGAAUUAUUGGGCGUAAAGAGCUCGUAGGCGGUGUGUCGCGUCGGCCGUGAAAACCUGCAGCUUAACUGUGGGCUUGCGGUCGAUACGGGCAUCACUGGAGUUCGGCAGGGGGAGACUGGAAUCCUGGUGUAGCGGUGAAAUGCGCAGAGUAUCAGGAGGAACACCGGUGGCGAAGGCGGGUCUCUGGGCCGAUACUGACGCUGAGGAGCGAAAGCGUGGGGAGCGAACAGG
rnacentral:rRNA from 1 species